CAGCAGAAGGGUGUGGAGUUAAACAAUCAGAAGGAGCAAAAGGAAUAUGUUGAUGUGAAGAUUGCUGAGCUAGAAACUGUAGUGGGAAACUUGAAGGCAGAGCUGUCAAAGAAAGAGGAGGAGAAGAAGAAGCUGAUGCAAAAGUAUGAUACUCUAGUGAACCUGACAGGUGCACAAGCCAAUGUGAUUAGGAACUUGAAGUUCAAUCAUUUGAAGGAGAAGGAAAGGCUGACAGAAGAGAGGCUUAAAUUGCAGCAUCACAUUUCUGAGCUUCAAAAGUCUGAGGAGAAGAUAAAGCAGAAGCUUCAGGGGGUGAAGGCCAUCUUAGAUGAGUAG
rnacentral:rRNA from 1 species